rnacentral:lncRNA from 1 species
AUGCUCAGAGGUUGCUGCCUGUUGUGUCUUGGGAAGGGUGAUAAAAUCAUGUUAUCUCCUGGCUUAUUUUUAUUUCAUGGCCUUGCCUUCUUGGGACUGUUCCUUUCUCAGAGAGAACUGCAUGGAAGAGAAAGGAAUAACCCCCGGUCUCUUGACAUUAGAGCUGCAAGCCUUGGAGACCUUCCUCGACAACCUGAUUCGUGCUGCCCCUGCCAUACCUGCCACCUGUGUUCUGUCCUAGAGAACUUCUGUUCUGAACACAGGUCUCAUGUCUGUGACGUCUGCACCCUUCCGUCGAGCCCUUUGUCUCACUACGACACUUCUGCUGCUAGGCCCUCCCCGCAGAAACUUCUCAGACCGUCUGCAGCCAUCUGCAGCCUUCUUGGCUCUGUGGACCGUGAGUCUCUCCGGAGCAGGGACUAUGCAGACAGCGACUCGGUAAGCCUCCACCUGGUAUCCAGAGUGUGUGCACCGUACUGGAGACCCAGAACUUUGGGGCCCAGAAGAAAGGACUGGAUCAAGUCGAGUUCCCCUCUUGAGCCCACAGGUCCCUGGAGCAUGGGAAGCAACCAGGCCGUGGAGUGUGAAGGUGGAGGCAGGGCCCUCCUUCUGAGCCGGACAGCCAUCCGACACUCCUCAGAGCGUGGAGAACCUCAAGAAUGA